rnacentral:rRNA from 1 species
AGCGAACGCUGGCGGCAGGCUUAACACAUGCAAGUCGAACGGGCGUAGCAAUACGUCAGUGGCAGACGGGUGAGUAACGCGUGGGAACGUACCUUUUGGUUCGGAACAACACAGGGAAACUUGUGCUAAUACCGGAUAAGCCCUUACGGGGAAAGAUUUAUCGCCAAAAGAUCGGCCCGCGUCUGAUUAGCUAGUUGGUGAGGUAACGGCUCACCAAGGCGACGAUCAGUAGCUGGUCGAGAGGAUGAUCAGCCACAUUGGGACUGAGACACGGCCCAAACUCCUACGGGAGGCAGCAGUGGGGAAUAUUGGACAAUGGGCGAAAGCCUGAUCCAGCCAUGCCGCGUGAGUGAUGAAGGCCCUAGGGUUGUAAAGCUCUUUUGUGCGGGAAGAUAAUGACGGUACCGCAAGAAUAAGCCCCGGCUAACUUCGUGCCAGCCGCCGC